rnacentral:rRNA from 1 species
AUUGAACGCUGGCGGCAGGCCUAACACAUGCAAGUCGAACGAGUGGCGGACGGGUGAGUAAUGUCUGGGAAACUGCCUGAUGGAGGGGGAUAACUACUGGAAACGGUCGCUAAUACCGCAUACCAUCAGAUGUGCCCAGAUGGGAUUAGCUUGUGGGUGGGGUAACGGUUCACCAAGGCGACGAUCCCUAGCUGGUCUGAGGGGAUGACCAGCCCCACGGGAACUGAGACACGGCCCAGACUGCAACGGGAGGCAGCAGUGGGGAAUAUGGCACAAUGGGGGCAAGCCUGAUGCAGCCAUGCCGCGUGUAUGAAGAAGGCCUUCGGGUUGUAAAGUACUUUCAGCGGGGAGGCGGUACCCGCAGAAGAAGCACCGGCUAACUCCGUGCCAGCAGCCGCGGUAAUAC